AAUAUUGGACAAUGGGCGCAAGCCUGAUCCAGUCAUGCCGCGUGGGUGAAGAAGGCCUUCGGGUUGUAAAGCCCUUUUGUCCGGAAAGAAAAGCUUUCGGUUAAUACCCGGAAGUCCUGACGGUACCGGAAGAAUAAGCACCGGCUAACUUCGUGCCAGCAGCCGCGGUAAUACGUAGGGUGCAAGCGUUGUCCGGAUUUAUUGGGCGUAAAGAGCUCGUAGGCGGUUUAGCAAGUCGGGUGUGAAAACUUCAGGCUCAACCUGGAGAUGCCACUCGAGACUGCUAUGACUUGAGUCUGGUAGGGGAGCACGGAAUUCCUGGUGUAGCGGUGAAAUGCGCAGAUAUCAGGAGGAACACCGGUGGCGAAGGCGGUGCUCUGGGCCAGUACUGACGCUGAGGAGCGAAAGCGUGGGUAGCAAA
rnacentral:rRNA from 1 species